GGGAGGCGGAGAAAACAGAUUUAAACUAAGUUUGAACCGCCACCUCGGUUUGCUAGUACGGUGAGAAAACGUCGUUCGUGAAGAGAUCUGAAUGCUAAAACAAACUCUGGAGCUGCUUUUUUGUUGAACAGAGUGAGACUGGACAUUGAACACACCUGCGCCGCGAAGGUGUCAGCACAUUGUCCACAAUCGCAGUCUUUGCACAAUGAAGAAGUUCUUUGAGACCAGAACUGAGGCCUCCAGGAUUCAAACUUUAACCAUUAAAGAUCACAGAGAGAAGAGAGAGACGUGAAGACAUUUCCAGAAGGUCUUCAGCUGCUGUCGUCUUCUCCUCCUGCAGAGACAAGAACAUGUGUUAAUCACAGAAAUUGAUUUUUGGUACCCAAUUAGAAUAAUUAAAACUAAACUUUUUACAACUCAGUAUCACAUAUUUUAGUGUGUUUUUUCUAAUUAUUACAGAGU